rnacentral:rRNA from 1 species
GACGAACGCUGGCGGCGUGCUUAACACAUGCAAGUCGAACGGAAAGGCCCUGCUUUUGUGGGGUGCUCGAGUGGCGAACGGGUGAGUAACACGUGAGUAACCUGCCCUUGACUUUGGGAUAACUUCAGGAAACUGGGGCUAAUACCGGAUAGGAGCUCCUGCUGCAUGGUGGGGGGUGGAAAGUUUCGGCGGUUGGGGAUGGACUCGCGGCUUAUCAGCUUGUUGGUUGGGUAGGGGCUUACCAAGGCUUUGACGGGUAGCCGGCCUGAGAGGGUGACCGGCCACAUUGGGACUGCGAUACGGCCCAGACUCCUAUGGGAGGCAGCAGUGGGGAAUAUUGCACAAUGGGCGGAAGCCUGAUGCAGCAACGCCGCGUGCGGGAUGACGGCCUUCGGGUUGUAAACCGCAUUCGCCUGUGACGAAGCGUGAGUGACGGUAAUGGGUAAAGAAGCACCGGCUAACUACGUG